rnacentral:lncRNA from 1 species
GUUGCAUUUGGAUUUGACAACGGAACAGUUGUAGUUAAAAUGAAUGGUUAUGUUGAUCUCCAAGCUUAGAAGGAAAGGUUGAAGGAAUAAAAGACAUCUAGGGAUCAUGUGAUUAAUACCUUGUCAAUAAAUGAUUUCGACGCACAAUACUGUUAUACUUGCUGACACAUUCUCUAAUAUAAGCGGAUUUCACCAUUAUAUGCAAGUUUCAUAUUGUCAAGUGUGUCGGCAAGUGUGUUAGUUUUGUAUGUCUAAAUAGUGUCAUUUGUACCGCAUACGUUAGAGGAAUUAUCCCAAGAACUUUACAGUGUUACUCUUAUUAUUGUAUUAUAUGUAUCAAUAAAACUAUAAAGAAUGUUUCGAAUGAUCCCUGAGGUUGACAUAACUCUUUACUUUGACAUCUGAGUUUUUUUUUUUCUUUUGAAUCGUUUGACAUAACUCUUUACUUUGACCCCUGGGUUUUUUUUCUUUCUUUUGAAUCGUUUGAGAUACAAAAUUAUACCUGAAUUUUUUCAUUGAUUCCGAAACAAAAGUUCGUGGCAUGAAGUAAUACCAUGUAAAAAUAAUCAGAUAUUUUACAAAUAAAAUCCAGAAAUCACAACCCUGUUACAUAUUUCAACUACGCCUUUAUAACGUAUUUUCUUAGGGACUUAUACAGCAGAGUAGAGUAUAAUAAUCUAGUCAGACGAUACAUACGAAGAUUAGAUGUUCCUACGGUUAAUACCCCUGAUUACAACAAUAAGAAUGAUCAUGCAUUUAGCAAACACAUUUAUGCACCAGAUGUAGAACCCUAAUAUCACAUCUGCCACCAAUUACGACUUGAACAAUAAUCCCCUGAAUUUACGUUGCUCUUUCGAAACUACCACCAACCUGGAGAAAUUUUUAGUUGUGACGAGAACACAAGUGGUACACCAUGUGUUUUAAUAGGAGUGGUGGGAAAUGUUAUUUUUUAAGUUAUUAACUUUUUAGCACACAUAUCCCACAAUUUGUAUAGUGACACGUGGUGUACCAUCCCGUGUACCGAUCACACUGAAAAAUCUCUCCACCAACCUAUGUAGCCAUUCGGGCUGUGAGCUUUGGGCGUACUCCCUUGGUGUGUCCGAACAGUGGCAGGAUUUCAGGUAUUGUCUCUCGCUCUUUAUUACUAUGUGAUUUACAUCUCUCUUUCGUUAUUCGUUAUAUGCUCUAUUAUGGAAGUUCUAUACCAUGUGGACUGAUUGCAAAUGUAACUGGUAAGCCAAGCUUGGCAAAUCAUGGCCUUACCUUACUUUGUUAGGAAUGUCGGUACAAGCCAAAGACAAGGCUUGAUGGAUACAAGAAAGUAUAACACACACUUUCUAUCACUCUAAACUUCACUCACACAAUGUGUAGUGGAACACUCUCACUCUCACUCUUGGAGUGGAACUCUAGCUUUGGACUUGAUCCUUUGCUACUCACUCUUAGUUCUUUAUUGGUUACAUCACACCCAUAUUUAUAGGUGAGGGCUUGGCAUUCUACUAGUUUCUAGUUCCUUCUUCAAACCUCUAGUAUAGAAAAAUCUAGACUAGCCACAUACUUGUAGCUUCUAGAUCUUUCCAUUUGCAACCAAGGAAGCUAGUACUCUCUAGCUUCUUCCAUCAACUUAAUAACAUGCUAGAAUUGUCUAGCAAGCUCCAGCCUCAUCUCUUGCUUACUAGAAUAAUCUAGAACAUUGAUCAUGGGCUGGACCAUAUACCAACAAUCUCCCCCUCCAGUCCAUGAGGGAGGAAUUCCGAUCAUGACUCCAAGUUACCUGGAGUUCAUCCCAGCAGCUUUAAUGCAGAAUUCCAACUUUGAUUUUGUGACUACCUUUGUCAACAUGUCUGAAGAAUUAUUAUCGGUAUGAAUCUUCUUCAGCUGCAGCAACUUGUUCUCGAUAGCGUCUCUAAUCCAGUGAUAACGAAUAUCAAUGUGCUUAGUGCGUGAAUGAUAUGUAGUGUUCUUGCUCAAGUCCAGAGCACUCUGACUAUCACAAUAAAUGCCAUAAUCACUUUGCUUCAAACCCAACUCUUGGAGAAACUGCUUCAGCCACAACAACUCCUUGCAUGCUUCUGUAGCGGCUAUGUAUUCAGCCUCGGUUGUGGACAAAGCAACACACUUUUGCAACUUGGAUUGCCAAGACACGGCUCCCCCGGCAAAAGUGAACAAGUACCCAGAUGUAGAUUUUCUACCAUCCAGGUCACCUCCCAUGUCAGCAUCUGUAAAUCCUUCCAAGAUUGGUUUGGAACCGCCAAAGCACAAGCACAUCUUAGAAGUCCCCUUCAAAUAUCUGAGAAUCCACUUAACGGCUUCCCAGUGGUCCUUCCCUGGAUUAGAGAGAAACCUGCUCACCACACCUACUGCAUGAGCAAUAUCUGGUCGUGUGCACACCAUUGCAUACAUGAUACUUCCUACUGCUGAAGAGUAGGGAACAACUGCCAUUUUCUCUUUUUCUUCAUAUGUUUUUUGGACACGACUCUUUGCUCAACUUGAUAUGAUUGGCUAAAGGUGAGCUUACCGGUUUGGCUGCUUUCAUGUUGAACCUUUCAAGCACCCGUUCAACAUACUUUUCUUGUGACAGCCACAACUUCUUGGAUUUUCUGUCACGAAUUAUCUCCAUGCCCAAAAUCUGCUUGGCUGGCCCUAAGUCCUUCAUGUCAAAGGACUUAGAUAACUCUUCUUUGAGCUUUUUAAUCAUAGAAGCAUCUUGUCCGACAAUCAACAUGUCAUCAACAUAAAGCAAUAAGAUGAUGAAUGUACCUCCAGAAAAUUGUUUGAUAUAGACACAAGAGUCAGCAUGAGUUCUCUUGUACCCAUUACUCACCAUGAAUGAGUUGAACUUCUUAUUCCACUGUCUCGGAGCCUGCUUAAGACCAUAUAAACUUUUCUUGAGCUUGCACACCAAAUUUUCUUUACCUUUGACUUCAAAGCCUUUGGGUUGCUCCAUGUCCUCUUCUAAAUUGCCGUGGAGAAAUGCAGUUUUAACAUCUAACUGCUCGAGCUCAAGAUCCAUGCUUGCUGCCAUACCAAGGAUAACUCGAAUGGAAGUCAUCUUCACCACCGGUGAGAAAAUCUCAUCAAAGUCAACUCCUUUCUUUUGACCAAAACCUUUGACAACCAAACGAGCCUUGUACCUUGUCAUGUUGUCGUCUCUUUUCAAUUUGAACACCCACUUGUUUUUCAAUGCUUUCCUGCCCUUUGGAAGCUCCACCAGCUCAUAGGUAUCAUUCUUUGAUAAGGAAUCCAUCUCCGACUCCAUUGCCUUCAUCCAUUUGUCACUGUCGUUAUGAGCUCUGGCCUCCUCAUAUGUUUCGGGCUCUCCAUAAUUAGUCAACAUGAUAUACUCUGAUGAAGAAUACUUGGUAGACGGUCUUCGACUUCUGAUGGAUCUUCUGACCUGAUCUUCAUUCUCUUGUAGGGCUGGAGGCUCCCCCUGAUUGGGUUCUCCUUGAAUCUGCUCUUCUUGACUAGGCUCCCCCUGAUCAGCAAUCUCAUGGUUUGGCACAUCUUGAUCAGGCUCCUCUUGAUUAGCAUUAUCUGAUUCUGCAAGCACUUCAUUGGCAGUUGCUUCAGGGAUGUCAUCGUGACUUUCUUCAUCUGAAGCUAAUGGAUCAACUCCUCUGACUGCGCCAUCUGGUUGUGCCUCUUUAUCCGAAUCCCCAAUUGUUUGUUCUUCAUAAAAGACCACGUCUCUACUUCGGAUAAACUUCUUCUGGUAUGGGUCCCAUAAUCUGUAACCAAAAUCUUCACCGCCAUAACCAAGAAAGAUGCACGGUGUAGCUUUGUAGUCUAACUUCGAUCUCUGCUCUUUGGGCACAUGCACAAAAGCUUUGCAACCAAACACCUUCAGAUGAGAGUAAGACACAUCAUUACCAAUCCAUACUCUCUCUGGAACAUCAAGACCUAAUGGUACUGAUGGAGAUCGGUUGAUCAAAUAGCAGGCUGUCCUUACAGCUUCACCCCAGAACUGCUUAGAUAACUUUGCAGUCCUCAACAUACACCUGACUUUCUCCAUGAUGGUUCGGUUCAUUCUUUCAGCAACACCGUUAUGUUGUGGAGUUCCAGGAACUGUCUUCUCAUGACGUAUGCCAUGUUUUACACAAUACUCUCUAAACUGGUGAGAUGUGUACUCGCCGCCGUUUGUCGCUACGAAGGCACUUGAGAGGUUUCCCAGUUUCCCUCUCCACCAUGGCAUGGAACUCCUGGAAUGUCUGAAACACCUGGUCUUUGGAUUUCAACAAAUACACCCACACCCUUCGUGAAGCAUCAUCAAUAUAAGUAACAAAAUAUUUAUUUCUUCCAAGUGACUCGACUUCCAUGGGACCACACACAUCUGAAUAAACAAGAUCUAACAAGUUUCCUUUCUUUGUAGAUGGAACAGAAAAACUAACUCUUCUUUGUUUUCCGAAUAAACAAUGCUCACAAGAGUUUAACGACGUACCUUCGGUAAAGGGAAUGUGAGACUUCUUUGCCAAAACUUGUAGGCCUUUCUCGCUUAUGUGCCUAUGGCCUAGCCUCUUAUGCCAUAAGUCUAGAGAUGAGUCCUCCACAGCAUUCAACUCACCUUUCAAAACCUUGGCAUUUGACCGGUACAACGUACAACAAAGUCGUGCUCUUGCUACCACCAUUAAGCCUUUAGUAAGCUUCAAUUUUCCUUCGCCAAUAUGGUGAUAAUAUCCUUGUCGAUCAAGGGUACCGAUGGAUAUCAGAUUGAGACGUAUAUCAGGAAUAUGUCUCACAUCUUUCAACAUCAAUUGGCAGCCGAGAUUAGUUCUUAGACAUAUAUCACCAAUUCCAAGAAUUUUGGAAUAGCUUUCAUUCCCCAUCUUCACUAUGCCAAAGUCACCUUCUUUGUAUGUACUGAAGAACUCCCGUUUGGACGUAGCAUGGAAGGAAGCUCCAUUGUCAAAGAUCCAUUCAAUGUCUCUGUCAGAGUUGCCCAUAUGCAGACAUUCACCAACAGACAAUAUUUCUGGUACAUCACCACAUAUGACAGCAGUGGUAUUGCCAGUAUCAUCUUUUCUUCUGAUUGUUUCCUUCCCUUUGCUCUCUCUUCCAAACUCGACAAUUUUUCUUCAUAUGGCCUUCUUUGCCACAGUGGUGGCAUGCACCCCUGAACUUUGACUUGGAUCGGCUAGGACUCCUGCCAUGACCUCUAGGCCCUCUACUUUUGCUUCUUCCGCGGUUCUCUGUGACAAAUACUUGGCUGCUAUCUGUGCCAGAAGUCUUUCUCUUUGUUUCUUCAUUGAGCAUGCUAUUUUUAACAUUAUCAAGAGUAAGAACACCAUUAGAAGCAGAGUUACUUAUACUCACCACAAAGGUCUCCCAACUGUCUGGCAAGGAUCCAAGUAACAAGAGCGCUUGUAGCUCGUCCUCGAUCGUCAUUUUCAUAGUAGCCAACUGGUUGAUGAUAUUCUGGAAAUUGUUCAAGUGUUCUGCUACACUUAAACCAUCCUUGUACUUCACAUUGAUGAGCUCUUUGAUCAAGAAGGCUUUCUUGGCUGGGGUCUUCUUCUCGAACAAGGACUCAAGCUUCGUCCAAAACUCGCGAGCAUUGGUUUCAUUAGACACAUGGUGAAAAACACUAUCAUCCACCCAUUGUCUAAUUGUGCCAAUAGCCUUGCGAUUCAUCUUCUUCCACUCGGCAUCGGACAUGCUCUCGGGCUUAGCGGCAUCUCCUUCAAUUGGCUCAUGCAAAUCCUUGCAAUAGAGAAUGUCCUCCAUCCUUGGCUUCCAUGUUACCCAAUUGGAGUUGGUGAGUUUGAUCAUAGUGCCACUUCCUUCCAUCUCGUAGUACGAGCCAACCGGGCUCUGAUACCACUUGUUAGGAAUGUCGGUACAAGCCAAAGACAAGGCUUGAUGGAUACAAGAAAGUAUAACACACACUUUCUAUCACUCUAAACUUCACUCACACAAUGUGUAGUGGAACACUCUCACUCUCACUCUUGGAGUGGAACUCUAGCUUUGGACUUGAUCCUUUGCUACUCACUCUUAGUUCUUUAUUGGUUACAUCACACCCAUAUUUAUAGGUGAGGGCUUGGCAUUCUACUAGUUUCUAGUUCCUUCUUCAAACCUCUAGUAUAGAAAAAUCUAGACUAGCCACAUACUUGUAGCUUCUAGAUCUUUCCAUUUGCAACCAAGGAAGCUAGUACUCUCUAGCUUCUUCCAUCAACUUAAUAACAUGCUAGAAUUGUCUAGCAAGCUCCAGCCUCAUCUCUUGCUUACUAGAAUAAUCUAGAACAUUGAUCAUGGGCUGGACCAUAUACCAACAUACUUAUCCUGCUAACAGCUGGAAGAAAGAACUUAUAAAAUCCAGCCGAACUUGGGCAUAAAUUAUAAACUUGAAAAAGUAGAAUUGGCAAUCAAUUCGAGUAGAUAUUAUAUGCAAGUAUCCUUAAUGCAACUGGUAUCUUGGCGAGAUGUAAUUUGUUGAACCUUUAAUGGUAGUGCUUUGGCCUUCUAAUCAACCAUACAAUAUUGAUGUUGAAUUCUUUGUCCUGAAACAGCUGUGUUUUACUGCAAAAACCUGGUAUGGUGGCUUCUUGGGCCUGAUGAUCUUUGGAGCUAGUGAAGUGGUGGGGGUGUUGAGUACAUGCCUGAAGACGAAGUGAAGGUGGCUGCCGCGGAGAGGCUUAGGAUCUCGAUGGAACGGAUAGCCUUGCUAAAGGCAGCCCAACCUAAGAAAAAGAUUCCCAAAUCUGAUGAUGACGAAGACGAAGAAGAAGAGGAUGAAAGCGACGAAGAUGGGGACAAAAUCAAGAAAAAGAAGGAAAAGAAAAAAAUGGCGGAAAAUGGAAAACCAAAGGGACCUACAACCCUGUCGAAGUUGACAGCAGAGGAGGCCGAACACCGUGCUCUUCAAACAGCAGUGCUCCAAGAGUGGCAUACGUUGUGCAAGGAUAGAAGUGUUGUGCUAGGAUAGCACCAAACCUUUUAGAACCAACUCUUGAUAACCCACAAGAAAUAUAUCAAAUGAAAUGCAGAACAAAAUAUUAAAGACACCAAGAUUUUAAUGAGGUUCCUCAACAGUUAGUGUAACUGGAGUACGUCCUCAGAACAGUAGGAGCUCACCCAAUAAUCCAAUAUCAACCAAUUGGGAGUUUACAAAGUGUUGACAAUCUCACAACCCAAAUAACCCAAUACACCCAAUAGCUCUCACACACCACAGAAACAAAUAGAGAAAGAAAUAUAAUGAAUAAUUUCUUCUCUAUACAUAUAGCUCAAAGUUAUUACAACAACUACUUUGGUGGAUGAUUACUAACCAAAUGAAGCAGCAGCUUCUCUUCCUUUUGGGCUCUCUGCAAAUCUCCUUGCUCUCGGCAGCUCUCACUUCUCACUUCAGAAAAAUGAGCCCUCUUCUUCUACCUUUUUUCUUCUGCCCGAAACCAAUAAUUAUGGCUUUGAAAAAGCCACAACACAAGGAAACAUAAUUUUUUUCUUUUGCUCUGUUUAAUAGCCGAAAGCAUUUUGUUUUGUUGUCCACUUGGCCACUUGGCCACUUAUUCAACAAUCUCCACCUUGGCUAAGUUCCGAAAAACGCCAUGAUAAGCCAACCAACACAAUUAACACACAACAUCACUCCCAAACACUAGCAAGAGAACAACUCAUGCUGAGCCAAAUGCUCCAAAACUCUUACUGCUCAUCGCCUUCUUUAUAUAGGCAAAAUGUGAGCCAAGUUCAAGCAAUGAACAAACUUGGCUACACCAACAACCUUAGUCAACAUAUCAGCGGGGUUGUCUUUAGUUGGAAUCUUCUGGAGAAUGAUUUCUCCUUCACCAACAACUUCACGAACAGAGUGAUAACGCGCAUCUAUUGCUUGGUCCUCGCAUGGUGAACCUGAUACUUAGCCAAAUAAAUGAUACUCUGAUUAUCACAAUGCACCUCCACCUGCUUCUGAUCAACCCCCAAAUCUCUAAUCAGCCCAUGUAUCCAAAUGGCCUCCUUUAUAGCUUCAGCAACUGCCAUAUAUUCAGCCUCUGUAGUAGACAAUGCAACAGACGACUGCAAAAUGGACCUCUAACAAACUGGCCCUUUAGCCAUAGUAAACACAUAGCCUGUAGUAGACUUCCAUCUAUCCAGAUCACCUACAUAAUCUGAAUCAACAUAACCAACUGCAAAAUGACCAAUACCAGAGUCAUCUCUCUCAAAGCAUAAACCAACAUCUCGAGUACCAUGGAGAUACCUCAAUAUCCACUUAGCUGCUUGCCAAUGCUCUUUACCUGGAUUAUGCAUAUAUUGACUCACCAUGCCAACUGUAUGAGCAAUAUCCGGUCUAGAGCAUACCAUUGCAUACAUCAAACUACCAACCAAAUUUGCAUAUGGUAUAUUUUUCAUUUGCAGCUUCUCUUUAUCAGUUUUAGGACAUUGUAGAAAACUCAAUUUAAAAUGAGGAGCCAAAGGGGUACUAACCGGUUUGGUUGAAUCAUGAACUCCAAACUUCCGAAUCAACUUCUUAAGGUAUUGUCUUUGAUUCAAAUUAACCAAACUCUUAUCUCUAUCUCUAGUGAUCUCCAUGCCAAGGAUCUUCUUCACUUCACCAAGAUCCUUCAUCUCAAACUCAUUCUUCAUUUGCUUCUUCAAUUUUCCAAUCUCUUCAACAUUCUUUGAGGCAAUCAACAUAUCAUCAACAUAUAUCAACAAAUAAAUGAAAGACUCAUCUUGCAACUUCUUGAAGUACACACAAUGAUCAUAUUGACUUCUAGAAUAAUUUUGGCCCCUCAUAAAUUUAUCAAACCUCAAAUACCAUUGCCUUGGAGAUUGCUUCAAGCCAUAAAGUGAUUUCUUCAAUUUGCAAAACAAAUUCUCCUUCCCUUUCACUAUAUACCCAUCCGGUUGACACAUAUAAAUCUCUUCAUUCAAAUCACCAUGUAGGAAAGCCGUCUUCACAUCAAGUUGCACAAGCUUAAGAUCAUACUGUGCAACAAAAGCUAACAUAAUGCGAAUUGAUGAGUGCUUCACAACCGGAGAAAAUAUUUCAUUGUAGUCAAUGCCCUACUUUUGUGCAUACCCUUUAGCAACUAAUCUUGCUUUGAAUCUCACAUUGCUUUUCUCAUCAGCAUCUUCCUUCUUGGCAUACACCCAUUUGCAACCGAUAGCUUUCUUGCCCUUAGGCAAUUUAGUUAACUCCCAAGUCUUGUUCUUCAAAAAAGAAUUCAUCUCAUCACCCAUGGCAUUGCACUACCUCUCAUUUUCUUCACUCUCAAUAGCUUCCUCAAAAUUGGAUGGAAUCUCAUCAGUGAUAAUAGGAAGAGCAAAAGAAACAUAGUCACUAUACCGAGCUAGCUUGGUAAUUUGUCUUUUUCCUCUGUUCUUGGCAAUAGACUCUUGAGGUGAAACUUCCUCUUCAACUUGAAUAGAAUCUUCAAGUUCAACUUCUUCAACAUCCUCAUGGUCUUCAACUUCUUCACUUGUAGUGGCUUCGACAUCAGUGGAAAUAUGAUUUGAAGUACCAGAGGCAACUUUCUCAAGCUCCACCUGUUGGACAUCUUUCACAUUCUUCUCAGAGUCUUUGAACAUACUUUCUUCAUCAAAUGUCACAUCUCUACUGAUUAUAAGUUUCUUCAUCUCUGGGCACCACAACCUGUAACAUUUAACACCACUACUAAAACCAAGAAAGAUAGCCUUUUUGGCUUUAGGAUCAAGUUUACUUUCAGUCAUAUGAAAAUAAGCAGGUGAACCAAAAAUACGGAUAUAGUCAUAAUCAGAAGAAGGUUUUCCAGUCCAUACCUCCAUUGGUGUUUUACCCUGAAUAGCAGCUGAGGGUAACCGGUUGAUGAUGUGACAUGCAUAAUUAACUGCAUCUGCCCAAAAUGACUUGCUUAAACCCGACUGAGACAACAUACAUCUAACCUUCUCAAGCAAGGUUCGAUUCAAUCUUUCUGCAACUCCAUUUUGUUGUGGAGUUCCCCGAACACUAAAAUGUCUCACAAUCCCUUCCUCCUUGCAAACUUUAAAGAAAGGGUCGGAUGUGUAUUCUCCACCAUUAUCCGAUCACAAAAUUUUAAUUUUUCUCCCAGUCUGGUUCUCAACCAUUUUCUUCCAACUCAAGAAAAUGUUCAACACCUCACUCUUGUGCUUCAUAGUGUAGACCCAAGACCUUUUUGAAUAAUCAUCAACAAAGGUCACAAACCAAUGUCUACCACUCAAAAAGGGAGUCUUUGUAGGACCCCAAACAUCUGAAUGCACAUAAUCAAGAAUGUCAUUCGUCUGAUAUACUGCAGUACCAAACUUCACUCUAGUUUGCUUUCCCAAGACACAAUGCUCGUAGAAAUCAAGCUUACAAGUCGUGGCACCUUUUAGAAGACCUUGUUUCACAAGCCCUUGUAGAGCUUUCUCACUGGCAUGACCUAAUCUCAUAUGCCACAGUCUAGUAGUAUCUGAAUUCAGUCUAGUAGUAUCUGAAUUAGAUGUGCCCAUAUUUUCUGAGACUACAGACGUUUCAUUUGUCACGGUGCUUCCUUGCAAUAAAUACAAAUGACCACAUCGAUGAGCUUUCAUCACAACAAGUGCACCAUAGGUAACUUUCAAUGUCUGCUCAUCUGAAUGAAACCUGAAGCCCUUGGAUUCCAAAGUACCCAAAGCAAUAAGAUUUUUCUUCAAAUUCGGUACAUACCGAACACCUGCCAACUCUUUAACCAUGCCAUCAUGCAACUUCAAACGAACUGUACCAAUCCCUUUUGUUGUGCAAGGUUUGUCAUCUCCUAUGAACACAACGCCACCAUCAAACUCUUUCAAGCUUGAAAACCAAUCCUUGUGAGGAGUCAUAUGAUGAGUACAACCCGUAUCCAACACCCACUUAAUAGCACAAUCAAAUGAUGAGGAAGUGGUUAAAGCAAAAUCAGAAAAAUCUGUUUCAACCUCAGCAACAUUAGCUUCAGAACUUUCUUUGCCUUUGGUCUUCAAUCUAGGACAAUCUUUCUUCCAAUGGCCCUUAUUACGACAAAAGGCACAUUCAUCCAUUUCCAAAGGUUUUCUACCUUUAGAGUUUCCUCUAGGUCGAGACUGUGAUUUUUUUUUUACUAGAAGAUGAUAUUCUCUCCGAUGAUCUACCUCUAACAAAUAAAGCUUCAGAGGUACUAUCAUGAUUUUUAUCUCUAUGCCUCAUUUCAUAAUUCAUCAAGGCAUUUGACACAUCUUCAAAUUUCACAGUUUCUUUACCAUGCAUAAUAGUGGUAACAAAAUGCUCAUAAGAGUCCGGUAAGGAAUUCAACAAUAUUAAGGUCUUAUCUUCAUCCUUAAUAUCCUCAUCUAAAUUUAACAAGUCGGAAAUCAACUUAUUAAAAGCAUCAAGGUGUCUAAUCAUUUUUGUACCUUCUUUGUAUUGGAAGCGGUAAAGUUUUUUCAUCAAGUGUAGCCGGUUCUCUGCACUCUUCGUCAUAUACUUAUCUUCCAAUUUUUGUCAUAACACAUUUGCCAAUGUCUCCUGCAUCACAAAAUACUUAUGAGUUUUUGCAAAGCACAAUAGAAUUGAAGAGCAAGCCCACAAAUUUAAUUUCUCUCAUUCCAGCUUCGACAUAGCUUCCGGCUUCUCUCCCAAAGCGGCAAGUAGAUCUUGUUGAGCCAACACAUCUUUGACCUCACAUUGCCACAUCCCGAAGUUGUUUGUGCCAUCAAACUUUUCCACUUCGAACUUUGCAUUUUGCACCGUAGUUCUUGCAAACCCGGAGUUGCUUCCAAAAGGAUUCUCAUCUUGCCCGUCUGACAUCUUUGGCAACUAGACAGUACCCAAGAGCAACCAGUGCUCUGAUACCAAUUGUUGUGCUAGGAUAGCACCAAACCUUUUAGAACCAACUCUUGAUAACCCACAGGAAAUAUAUCAAAUGAAAUGCAAGAACAAAAUAUUAAAGACACCAAGAUUUUAACGAGGUUCCUCAACAGUCAGUGUAACUGGAGUACGUCCUCGGAGCAGUAGGAGCUCACCCAAUAAUCCACUAUCAACCAAUUGGGAGUUUACAAAGUGUUGGCAAUCUCACAACCCAAAUAACCCAAUACACCCAAUAGCUCUCACACACCACAGAAACAAAUAGAGAAAGAAAUAUAAUGAAUAAUUUCUUCUCUAUACAUAUAGCUCAAAGCUAUUACAACAACAAUUACUUUGGUGGAUAAUUACUAACCAAAUGAAGCAGUAGCUUCUCUUCCUUUUGGGCUCUCUGCAAAUCUCCUUGCUCUCAACAGCUCUCACUUCUCACUUCAGAAAAAUGAGCCCUCUUCUUCUACCUUUUUUCUUCUGCCCGAAACCAAUAAUUAUGGCUUUGAAAAAGCCACAAAACAAGGAAACAUAAUCAUGUUGUCUUUUUUUUCUUUUGCUUUGUUUAAUAGCCGAAAGCAUUUUGUUUUGUUGUCCACUUGGCCACUUAUUCAACAAGAAGUGCUAAAGUUAAUUGAUGGACCGACAAAAGAAGGGAGCACCACCAAUCUCUUUCCGAGUGAAUGUAACAGCCGGGAAUCGCCCCUUGCAUUUCGCGGCUUAACACGUUUGGGAUAUCAAUGAACAGAGUUAACUUUGCUCCGUGUGGACUGCAUCCAAAUCCACCACACUCAUGCGCUUGCACAGGUGAGUCUGUGAGGUGGUCACUGACAACUAACCAUGUGUUUAACUCCAAGGUUUUGAGUGCUUGGCAGAUGCUUGCGAUUGCCACCGGGAUUUGUUCGCUUCCGGCUAAAUUCAACGGUCACUUGCCCCGGUCUCGUCGUACUUUUCUUCACACCUUCAAUCCCGGAUCGUGCGUUAACUGAGGCUGUCUAGUAGAAGUAGAUGUUAAAUUUUAGGAAAUUAGUUUGGCGUUUGUGUGAAAAUUGUGCGAUUAAACUGGGGUUUGUCUCUCUUCCCCUAUAUUUUUGUAUUUUCUGUUUCUUGGCCCAUUGUUCAUCAUUGAAUUAUACAGGAGAGAGUUUCAAUUCUUCAUGUUGUAAAACAAUUUUUGUAAAAUUUGAGAAUAAUGUAUUUUCAUUUAGACCAUGCAUUCCAACUGAUUCUUAAUUCCAUUCUAAAUCGACGUUUGAAUUGUUGGACCUGGCGUGGUCCUCGUAAAUAAAACGAGGAUUCUGAAUAAAUUUCAGUGUAUUGAGACAUAUCAAUCUUGUCGUUUACCCGUAUAACAAGUUUAGUUUUGGGACGAAGAACAUGAUUUACAAGGAUCACGAAGCAAAAAGAUUGGACAAGGCCCACCUACUUCUCAUGAAAAUGAAAGCAUUCAUAGUUUCUUGGGACCUAGAUCCUCUCCGAGGCAAACCCUUGGGAUCCUACUGAACGACAAACACGGGCCGUUGGAUUUUGAUCCAACGGCUACAAAUAGGGAAUCCCUCUUAAAGUUAUAAUAAAUGUAACCGUUGGAUCGAAAUCCAACGGCCCAUGUUUAUCGCUCAGCAAGAUCCCGAAGGUUUGCCUCGGAGAGGUUCCAGUUCCAGUUUCUUUUAUAUUCUAUUACGAACGUGUUGAAAGUUUCAAAAGCACACAUGCAUGCAUGUAUUAUUAUUCAACUUAAUUUCUGAUGAUGUCACACAGUCAAAGGAAGGGAUAUUGAAACUCGAUCUCCACCGCCAGUUUAAUGUAUAUAAUGAACGGACGGCAUCUAACCAAAUUGGUGACAACAUAGGGAUGAAACCUUGACUUUUCAGUACUGGCAUCAUGGGAUUAGGAUAUGAUAAUUUUCCUUGGCUGCCAAGCCUCACUGUGUAUAUAAAUGGAGGUUCUGCAUCGUCCUCCAUUCACAACCACUUUUACACGUACAUCAAGUUAACAAUUUUCUUCAUAUUUCCUUCCUUCUAUUUGCUCAAAAUGGUCAGUUUGUGUUGUUCAUUUUUCAAGAUUUUAUUGUUAAUUAUUAUUAUUAUUAUUAUUAUUAUUAUUAUUAUUAUUAUUAUUAUUAUUAUUAUUAUUUUCAAAUGGGAGUGCCUACUUGAAUUUGUGGGUCCCAUCACAAAAAUAUUGGAGGCGUACUAUGGAAAAGGAUCAUCUUCGGAUCCUCUUUGUGGGGAUCUGGAUGAUCAAUCAAUCAUGUUCGUUCAUUGUAUAUCAUGCGAUCAUAAACUUCAAUAUAUAUACGGUUAAAAUAUAUGACUAAAAAACUUAUAUUAUUCAGUCUCAAUUUUUUUUUUUUUUAAAUAUUGGCUGAUAUUUUGACUUUUUAUUGCUUCUCUCUGCAUUUGGUGGGAAGCAGGCUCUUUCACUCACUAUUGAGGUAAUGGCUAUUCCUCUUUUUUUUUUUCUUUUCCUUUUCUAUCUUAUUUAUUUUUUGGAACUAAAAUUUUCUCUAUGUUUCAACAUUAACUUCAAUAUAUUUUUUACCAGAAAGAAUUUGCUCAAAACUCAGAAAGAAUUAAGUCUGUGGAUCUACAUCCAACUGAGCCAUGGUAAUUGCUUGUCUUGGCAAUUCUGUUUAUGUUUUCUGCAUCUCCUCGUUUUGAUUUUUUUUCAUAUUCUUACCCUAAACCCUAAACCCUAAUUGAUGCAAGUGCAACCUUCUGCUAUCCACUUUCGAUUUCGUGUACGUUAAUUGAUUGAAUUCUAAAAAUGCAAGAUAAUCAAAGCUUGUUGGUAAUGUUUUGCAUGUAGGGUUCUGGUCAGUUUGUAUUCAGGUGCUGUUUGUAUCUGGAAUUACCAAUCACAGACCAUGGAGAAGUCCUUCAAGGUCACUGAAUCACCAGGUACAUUAUUUUCUUUCAUAUGUUCUUGUUGCGUGCCUACCGAAGUUUCUCUCAUUGACAGAUAUGACUUUGCGUCUAAAUUUUGUUUACAUGUGCUUGCAGUCAGGUCAGCAAAGUUUGUAGCACGCGAACACUGGAUAGUAACCGCAGCUGAUGACACAUUUAUUCGCGUCUACAACUAUGACACGACGGAAAAGAUCAAAGAGUUUGAAGCACAUACAGAUUAUAUCAGGAGUGUGACUGUCCAUCCUACUCUACCUUAUCUCUUGUCAUGCUCGGACGACAACGUUAUAAAGCUUUGGGAUUGGGAGAAGGAUUGGUCAUGCACUCAGAUCUUUGAGGGACAUUCUCACUAUGUAAUGCAAGUGGCGUUCAAUCCAAACGACACCAAUACUUUCUCUAGUGCGUCUCUUGAUGGCACUGUCAAGGUAUUGCAAGGAUUGUUAUUUGUGCAAACUUAACCGUAAAAUUUUCAGCGUCAUGACUUCUGUGACACUCAUAUACUUUUGCAGGUAUGGAGGAUUGGCUCCGCUGGCCCAGAGUUUACAUUAGAGGACCACUUAAAAGGAGUAAAUUGCGUUCAUUACUUCAUUCGCGACAAUAAAACAUAUCUAUUGAGUGGUUCCGACGAUUUUACUGUUAAGGUUUGUGAUGAAAUGUUGGUUAUAUAUAUGUACUGAAUAUGAUGAUAUGUGUUCGUCUUUGCGUGCAUAUGAAUUUGAAUGUAUUAUGUCAAUGCAGGUAUGGGACUACGAAAUCAAAAGCUGUGUCCAAACUUUAGAAGGCCAUGAGCACAAUGUAACUGCUCUAUGUGUUCAUCCUGAGCUUCCCAUAAUAAUCACAGCUUCUGAGGAUGGGAAUGUUCACAUUUGGCAUGCAGCCACUUUUAGGUAACCGUCUUUUACGAUUCAAAAUAUUUACACCAGAAACGCAGUUAACUCGAUUUCUGUUUACGUCUUCUUUUUGUAACCCAUUCUUAUGGUCUUGCAGGCUAGAAAAGAGACUGAGCUACGAUCUCGAAAGAGUUUGGGCCAUCGCACACUCGAAAGGAUCAGACAAGUGAGUUUUUUUCCAUCUUUUUCUUGUUGUUAGGAUUCGUUUUGUUGUGGCAUUUGAUUGAUUACCAGUGACGAUAUAAAUUGACUUCGUACUUCAUUGCUCUGCAGAGUUGCAUUUGGAUUUGACAAAGGAAUAGUUGUGGUUAAAAUGAAUGGUCAUGUUGAUCUCCAAGCUUAGAAGGAAAGGUUGAAGGAAUAAAAGAGAUCUAGUGAUCAUGUGAUUAAUACCUUCACCUUGUCAAUAAAUGAUUUCGACACACAAGACUAAUAUACUUGUUGACACGUUCUCUAAUACAAGUAGAUUUCAUAGUUGUAUGCAAGUUUCGUAUUGCCAAGUGUGUCGGCAAGUGUGUUAGUUUUGUAUGUCUAAAU